rnacentral:ncRNA from 2 species
CGCGCACACCGCGGGAGUCCGGGCGGACCGGGCUGAGAGGGGGGCUGCGGCCUCCGACCGUAUGAACCUGAUCCGGGUCAUUCCGGCGAAGGGAGGGGGCUUGGUGGCCAG